CGAAAUGGGUCAUCGCUUUGGAGAUAGAUAUAGGUCCCGCGGUUCGAUGGGAUGGCCGGCCGGACAUCUUCACACCUAGAGUCGCUACGGAAAACUAAAGCGCAUCGUGGAUCACUCCUUGCGGGAAGGCAGCUGCUAAUCUGCCAAGCCCGGCCGCCGGCCUGAAACUCGACCCUCUUCUGCUAAAAUUCAGCGGCACUUCCUCCGCCGAGUGAAUAAACAACGACGAGGGCGCCCGACGAGGCGCCGAGUGUUAAAUCCGCACGCAAGCACCGCGUCCCGGUCAGACACCAACCAACCAACCAGCUCCGAGGUCCCACAAUCCACGCCCCGCAGCCGGCCACGAUGUGCACCCUGGAGCAGCGCGGCCGCGUGUUCGUCCUCACCCUCACGGGCGACGGCGAGCACCGCCUGGGCCACCCGCUCAUCGCCUCCAUCCGCUCCGCGCUCGCCUCCGUGCUCGCGGCGGCCCAGGCCCAGCCCCAGGGCCCGGGGGCGGCCCUGGUGACCGUCGCCGAGGGCCGCUUCUUCUCCAACGGGCUCGACGUCGGGCGGGCGGGCGGCUCCCGCGCGCGGCUCCGGGAGCUCGUCGACGCGUUCCGCCCCAUCGCCGCCGACCUGCUGGCGCUCCCCAUGCCCACCGUGGCCGCCGUCACGGGCCACGCCUCCGCCGCCGGGCUCCUCCUCGCGCUCUGCCACGACUACCGCCUCAUGCGCGCCGACCGCGGCGUGCUCUACAUGGGCCUCCCGCUCCCGCCCUACGUCGCGCGCCUGCUCCGCGCCAAGAUUACCCAGGCGCACGCGCUCCGGGACGUCGCGCUGCGCGGGAGGAAGCUCAGGGCGCCCGAGGCCAGGGAGAUGGGGAUCGUCGACGCCGUCUGCGCCGGCGCGCCCGAGACCGCCGCCGAGGCCGUCAAGCUCGCCGAGCAGCUCGCGGCCAGGGAGUGGGACGGCGCCGUGUACGCGUCCAUCAGGGUCUCCACGUUCCCCGAUGCGUGCAGGGCCGUCGGGAUUGCCGUGGAGAGCGACGAGGAGAAGAGCAGGCACUUCGCUUCCAGACUCUGAUCAGGGGAGAUGGGGAGGUCAGUCUCCUCUGCAACUCUGUAUCCCCAGUCUCUGACGAGGUGUUUGCUGAACUUUCUGAAUAAUGGAGAUCGCUAUUCUCUACUUGUAGUACCUGAGAGUAGCUUCGAUCUGAUUCAGGUCAUCACAAGACACAGCUAGAGGGCUCACUCUAAUUGUGCUUAGCAUUUUGUUUUGUUUGUAUAAUUCCAGUUAGAGAUGAAGCGGCACAAUCUGCGAGCAAGGCGUGAGUACCCGAGCUAUUAGCUGUGCUUAACUAACACUAUGUACAGCCUUGUGAAAUCUGAAUACGACUGCACCAAGAUUUGUCUCAUCAUAGUUCUUGCCUACAAUCUUUCUUCAAGCUCCUGAACGGACCUGCCUUUUCUCCUGCAGAGUGUCUCUCUUGUAUUCUGCAACUGUACAUUGAUCAACCGUCGAUGAUCUGAAUGAAGCAGGCACUACAUACUACUUCUGCAGACGUUGUAUUUCUCUUGCUUUGGAAGUGUGAAAUAAACAGAAUGCCUGUGUGUGUGACUGUUGGACUGAUUAUUUUGCUGCUGCUGCAGUGAGAUUCUCAUCUACAAAAUCGACAUAUGACGUGCCAGGAUGCAUUUUGUUCUUUCGAUAUUUUUUCUUUAUUGGAACCAUGUGAAAGACGAGAUUGAUUGACCA
rnacentral:rRNA from 1 species